AUCCUUUGAUGAGGGCAUCUACUUAGUAACUCCUUGAAUCUUUCCCACAUCACUUAUAGGGACUCAACAUCCAUUUGUUCGAAAGUGGUGAUAUCAUUCCGCAACUU
rfam:Gossypium arboreum cultivar AKA8401 contig_10750_1, whole genome shotgun sequence.